rnacentral:rRNA from 1 species
AACGAACGCUGGCGGCAUGCCUAACACAUGCAAGUCGAACGAGACCUUCGGGUCUAGUGGCGCACGGGUGCGUAACGCGUGGGAACCUGCCCUUAGGUUCGGAAUAACUCCCCGAAAGGGGUGCUAAUACCGGAUAAUGUCUUCGGACCAAAGAUUUAUCGCCUUUGGAUGGGCCCGCGUUGGAUUAGCUUGUUGGUAGGGUAAAAGCCUACCAAGGCGACGAUCCAUAGCUGGUUUGAGAGGAUGAUCAGCCACACUGGGACUGAGACACGGCCCAGACUCCUACGGGAGGCAGCAGUGGGGAAUAUUGGACAAUGGGCGGAAGCCUGAUCCAGCAAUGCCGCGUGAGUGAUGAAGGCCUUAGGGUUGUAAAGCUCUUUUACCCGGGAUGAUAAUGACAGUACCGGGAGAAUAAGCUCCGGCUAACUCCGUG